GUAAAAUAACUGCAUGAUUUAAUGAGUAGCAAAAGAAAAAUGUGCUUCUAUGUAUACUUCGUGUGUGUGUUCCGUGACCCACCAGAAAAGUAGAAAACCUGUCCUCGAUUUGUGUCAGCCAGUCAGCGAUGGUGAGGGGGGGAGAUCGGAAAGCAGCGCUGAUUGGCUGAGAGGAGCAUUGUGCGCUUGUCAAUCUAUCUCGCAUGUUGAGGUGACUAUUAACAGCUGGGCCGGAGGACAAGUUUUUCAGAGUUACCAAGCAGAGCGACUGUGUGACAAGUGCAAUUCUAAUACGACUGUCUUAACCAUUUCGAUUUUGUCAGACUGAGAAGUAUGCAGGUGCAGUGCGGUGGCUAAAGUUGUCAGAAUCACUGCUCCAGGUUUGAAUCCCGUCUUCAAGAUUGUACAAAUUCCACCAUCUAAUAUUUUAAAAGAUAAGGAAACCUGAAGUUUCAAGGUAAGGUUGUUCUACUUCCUAAUUAUGGGACCAGAGAGUGGCGACAUGUCGCAUGCUGAUUUAAUACAUGAAAUAUUCACAAGAAGCCAGCACAUAUAUCAGGAUUGAGGUACGAAACAACUCUGGAAGGAAUGCCAGUUCUUCCUAGAUACACACCCAGAACCAGUUACACAGGGUCAAAUUACCAUUGUUAAUUGAGAAUAUAGCUUGCAGGUUUGGGAUGUGGGUGAGAAACUGGCUGCCUGGAUAAAGCUCAUGGAUGGUGGGGAUUGUACGUUCUCCAAACAGAGGCUGGAAGUUGAUCUGUGGAAUUGUAAGAUGGCAGCCUAACCAGUGUUCCUCCUUUGCAAGCCUCACCAUGUAAUGGGUAUGUUCAGUUUAAACUAGUAUUGCCUCCUGAGUUAAAGUGAGUGCACAUGCUUCCAAGUUAUGAAUGCAAAAGGUUUUCAUUUUAAUGUACUGCUUAUCCUUAAAAGGAGGUUAUAUGAUCACCUCUGGACUUACAGUGAGCAUUCUUCUUUUUUUUUUUUUUGGGGUGCUAGGUAAAACUUCAAAAAUGUUGUGCCACAAUAUUUGAUAAGGUCUUUCAUAUGCCAAUAUGUUUUAAAGGCAACAUUCUAAUAGCAUUGCUUUUGAAAACUUUUUGGUACGAUAAACAAAGCAAAAAUGACAAAAGUCCAACUGCACAAGCUUUUCCUCAGACAUCACAUUUUGUUUCCCCUUCCCUUAUUUUUCUAAUUCUGACUUUAUUCCCCCCCCUCCAUACGUGACAUCAAAACUAAUUUCCCUUUACCUACUGUAGUUAACAUGCUGUUUACCAGUAACUGUCAGAUUAUCCGUGUAUGAUGGGCUCAUUCCAGGAGGUGUCUGUUUUUAAGUUUUACUUCAGAGUGUUUGAUAUUUUCGUGAGCUUUUAUCUUUGUCAUAAACAGGAUUAUGAUUUUCUUCAGUCCAGGAAUUCAGCCUCAGAGAAAGAAAGUUGCAUUUGUUUGUUGUCUGAAUGCUUGCUUGUCAUUAGAUCUUUCAUUGUCAUGGGGAUAAGACAUUUCAGUUAAAAGGUACAAGUAUGAUUUUCACUGUUCAGUGCAAGUAUGGACACAACCAGGUUCACAAUUUUUAAUUAAAUAUAUUACGGGAU